UUCAUCUCUGUCCUUAUCUUGACCUGUUCUUUCGCUUUCAUUCGCCCAACAUGUAGUUUAAAACACCAAACAUUGGAUAAUCGCUAUUUGAAACACCACCAUCGCACCAAUCACGACUACUGAUCCCUUCGUCGCACUUCUGAAAAACCUAGAACCAACAAUGCUUAAUGCCACCAUCACCAACUAACCACCAUCUCAGAACCCACAUUGCCUUCAACCACCAUCACAGAAAAACCCCACCACCAUCGUAGGCACCAAUCCCUCUUUCUCUGUCUCUGUCGCGGUCUUCAUUUUUGUAUUAAUGAAGAUAAGAUUGAUAUGCAGGUGACAAAUCAAGGAGAUGUGUUUACGGUGGUGUUGUAAUUUUUAAUUUUUUUUGUUGGUACCUCUGCCAUUGCCUUACCACCGCCACCACCACCACCACCAUUGAAAACCCACCAUUAGUUUUGAUUUUGUUGAGCCUUCAAAAACGCGUUUGUUACUUACCCAUGUCUUCUUUGUUUAAAACCCUAAUAUGCCCACACCCCACCACCAAUUGCCAAAUAUGCCUCAUCCAAAUGCUCUCCAGUUCCAUGGCCAUCAGCCACAAUCGAAACCCUAGAACCCAUCUCAUGAAACCAUUUCGAGUUUUCAUCUGGCAUUGAAGACAAACCACUGAAUACCAAACUCUCAUUAUUCUCGGCCCUUAACUCCUUUAUCCGGCAUCAUCUCCUUCUAUAUUUUACAAUGAUGUUAUCCUCCAAUCCCACAUAUCAGAUCACACUUCACCACCAUCACCAUUACUCUAAAACCCUAUAUUUCAUAUGUCAUUGCCACCAUCGCCGCCCUCAUCUACGGUCAACACCAGAAUCGUUGUGCUACCGUCCCCACUAUACGUGAGCACCAUUAGACACAUCUCUCCAAGAACCAUAAAAACCCUGAAUUUGAACUUCUUCACCGCUGCCACCACAUACGUACCACCAAACAUCGAUCACAUCAAAUUAAGCUCUAUUCAACGCUUCUCUCUCUCUCUCUCUCUCUCUGUAUUGUUGUUACAGAGAAACAUAUUUUCCAAAUCAAUGGUGAUUUCCCUUCAUUUCAUUAUUUUUGUUAUUUUGUAACUUUUCUUGCAGAUCAGUUUAAACAAAACUACAUAGGUUGGUCAUAGGUUUCUUGAAAGGGAUGAGUUAACUUUAAUACCUCUGAUUUAAGUUUCUAACCAUUUGCAGUCAAAUAGAUUCAUUUCAUGCAUAGGUGACAGUUGAUUCAUUGACCAUCGGUUUAUUCUUUUUACUUCUCAGAUUUUGUUCUUAGAUAUAUUUUUGAUUCUAAUUUAAAAAUUUAUUUGUUCAAUGGAUUUGUGUAUGCUAGGGUUUUGUUGAGUGAUGGUAGCCACCUACAAAAGGUUAAUUUCUUAUUUGUCUUCAUAUCUUAUUUUUGUUCACAUUCUAUUCUUAUUUCAUAUGUAUUUACUUGAUAAAUAGUAUAUGGAUGUUUUAUUAUCCAUGAUUAAAUUUGAACUUGUACACCACAGGUCUUAAGCUACAAAGUUAAAGUCGUUAAUUUCCUUAAAUUUGUAUAUAAGCUAAUAUUCCAAAUGUGAGUUUGUCUAUUAAAUUAGAACUGAAAUCUACUAUUUGUGGGUUUUCAUGACUAUCUGAACAGAGGUAUCUCUUCAUAUCAUAAAUUGAAUUGAGAAUGAAUUUAUUAAAAUAGAUGUUGGCUACAGUGGAUCAAUGUUUAAGUAAUUGGGUGAUUAAUGACAUUUUUCCCUUGGAAUUUAUUAACAUAGAUGUUGGCUACAGUGGAUCAAUGUUUAAGUAAUUGGGUGAUUAAUGACAUUUUUCCCUUGAAUUUAUUAACAUAGAUGUUGGCUACAGUGGAUCAAUGUUUAAGUAAUUGGGUGAUUAAUGACAUUUUUCCCUUGGAAUGUGUAAGAUAUGUGUUUAUUUUAGAUGCUCGCUUAAAACUCUUUGUGUUUUCUAGGAGUGGUGAAUUUGGUAACAAAAAUUUGUGUCCUGUAAGCUCUCAUCAUUAGUUGGUGUCGUUUAUGAUGCAUAUUGAAAAGAAGUAUUUUUUUUGUUGCUUAAUGACCUUUCUGCCCCUAUAUGGUCUUGAUGACCUUUUUGGAAGUUAUAUGCAAUAAUUCAGUUUGGGAUGGGUUUAUGCAAGUACCAAGUAUGAUCAUGUCUCACCAAUGUAUGUUUUGUUUUUAAGUGAAUAAACCAUGUGAAUGAGUACAAAUGACUAUCUAUGAUUGUCUAAUCAAGCAAUAUCUACUAAUUAGAAUGCAAGAAAGUCUAUAGACACACAGAAAAAGAUAAGUAAUGUUUGUCUUAUGUUUUUAUAUCACGCAACAGGUCCGUUACAAGUGAAAUAUGACAUAUCAGAACCAAGUAUAACAACCAUGUUUUCAAGUAAAGUAGACAUUAGUUAUUUGAGGGAGAAUUUGUCCAAUUCCAGGUAGAGUGGAUUGGAGAUUAAUAGCAACACCAAAAGAAAAGGGCAAAUUUGUCCAAUUCAUGGGAAAGACAACAUGGGAGGCAUAUUAGUUGCUUUUGGGAGAAGUUGUACAACAAGGCUAAAUCAAGAUCCAAAAUAACCUCUUCGGUAUUCAAAAACACCAACAACAGAGGCAAACAUGCCUAGCCAUGUAUCAACCAGCAAGAGCAAAAUCAUCUAAAAAUAUAUUCAAGCCUAUCAAGCCAGAGCCCAUCUUUUUAUAACCACUUUAGUUGUGUAAUGUUAGAAGUUGGGUUGUCAAAUUUAUAUCUACCCACCUUACAAAAAAAAUUCUUUUAUGUGACAUAUUCACAUGAAUCUAUAAGGAUUGUAGGCUUAUUAAUUCCAUCACUGUUUAAGAUAAUUUUGUUAUAGACCCAUCUAUACAUACUAAAUAUGUUAUAAUUUAUCUUAUUUUUGAAAAAAUAUAUUUGUUUAAUUUUAA